UACGGGGGGGGCAAGCGUUGCUCGGAAUUACUGGGCGUAAAGCGCACGUAGGCGGCUUUCUAAGUCGGGGGUGAAAUCCUGGAGCUCAACUCCAGAACUGCCUUCGAUACUGGAGAGCUUGAGUCCGGGAGAGGUGAGUGGAACUGCGAGUGUAGAGGUGAAAUUCGUAGAUAUUCGCAAGAACACCAGUGGCGAAGGCGGCUCACUGGCCCGGUACUGACGCUGAGGUGCGAAAGCGUGGGGAGCAAACAGG
rnacentral:rRNA from 1 species